ensembl:snRNA U6 U6 spliceosomal RNA
GCGUCACUGUAGUAGCACACAGACUAAAACUGGAAUGAUACAGAGAAGAUUAGCAUAGAUACUGUGCCAGAAUGGUGUAUAAAUUAAGGAAGCAUUCUGUAUUUUU